rnacentral:lncRNA from 1 species
UUCAACAGUGGCCUUGCGAGAGGGGAUUCAGGCCUAACCACUCGAAGCAAUUCUAGUCCAAAUUUGUCCGCGAACUGCAUUCACAAGAAAAUUAUAGCCAGCACCUCAAAACAAAUGUCCCAUUUCCCCUCUGCUAUACAUCGCCCCUCGCUGGGCGCUUGGUAGCAGAAGCAAUAGGUAUCUAUACACACAAAUUUAGUACAGUACUUAUCAAGAUUAACCCGGUAACAGCCUUACUUAGUUUCUCCUCUUCACUAAUUGCAAGAAGCCUCCUGGAAUGGAUCAAAGGAUGG